rnacentral:rRNA from 1 species
AUGAACGCUGGCGGCGUGCCUAAUACAUGCAAGUCGCGCGAACAGACGAGGAGCUUGCUCCUCUGACGUUAGCGGCGGACGGGUGAGUAACACGUGGAUAACCUACCUAUAAGACUGGGAUAACUUCGGGAAACCGGAGCUAAUACCGGAUAAUAUAUUGAACCGCAUGGUUCAAUAGUGAAAGACGGUUUUGCUGUCACUUAUAGAUGGAUCCGCGCCGCACUAGCUAGUUGGUAAGGUAACGGCUUACCAAGGCAAAGAUGCGUAGCCGACCUGAGAGGGUGAUCGGCCACACUGGAACUGAGACACGGUCCAGACUCCUACGGGAGGCAGCAGUAGGGAAUCUUCCGCAAUGGGCGAAAGCCUGACGGAGCAACGCCGCGUGAGUGAUGAAGGUCUUCGGAUCGUAAAACUCUGUUAUUAGGGAAGAACAAAUGUGUAAGUAACUAUGCACGUCUUGACGGUACCUAAUCAGAAAGCCACGGCUAACUACGUG